GCUUCCUACAAAGCUGCCGUCAAGCUUUCUUGGGGGAGGAAAAUAUAUUUCUGCCAGAGAACAGUAGCCAUUGAUAAUGAACAGGGAGCAGCUCAUCGCUGAGCUCUCGACAGUGACGGAUGUGUCUGUGGCRCGAGACAUCUGGAAGGGGUUUUGCAGGAGGCUCUGGCUCUUGCCACACCACCGAUCUCUGGCUGAUGGGAGAGAUGUAGGAGGAGAAAACUGAGGAUCCUAGGGCUGGUUCUUGUCAUGUGUGGCAUAAAGAAAGGAUUUGCUUGAGAUACACAGUAAACGUCCCUGCUCUGAUGUAUUUUGUGUGUGUGCUUGGGAUUCAGCUGGUGACAGUGAAUUUGGUGGCUUCGUGUGCUCAUUCAAUAGUAUGGCCCAGACGGGAGGACUCCAUCGGAACAUCUGUAUGACGGUGGAGCAUGAGAUUCCCAGGAGACAGCACGUCUUCACAAGCAAACACGGAGCUUUUAAUUGACGCUUUCAUUUGUUUUGACAUAAAACCAAGAUUUCURGAAAAAUAAUGUGCAGAGAGAGAGAUUUCCUCAAGUCAAACUCAGUGCUUGGUGGUUUGGGCUCACCUGGGUUGUGGGAAACCUGAGUUUGUGUCUUGGGAUGAACUUGGCCACAGGACGAUGGACUCU